GGAUGUGAGGGCAAUCUGACAGCAACAUCUGUCACCCCAUGAAUCUCCCAGGUUCACUGGGUUGAUCUAUCUGGUUGGGCAGGUAUCCCUUCCUCCCUCACCACUCUAUGUGCAUCCCUUCUAUACCUGCACACUUGGUCAAAGAGGACGAUCAAAAGACUGUUCUUCGGCCAGAGGUAUCUGAGUGGUUGUGCUCCCCUGCUGGAAGCUCCAAACUCUCAGGGUCCAUCCAUAGGAAAACAUAUGGUAGUCAACUUUCCAAGACUCUUCCGAAUGAGACACUGUGUGUGGCAGUCUGUCUUUCUUA
rnacentral:snRNA from 1 species